GACAACAGAACAACGACGCCGUUUUUGAAUGAACUUUGUGUUGUUUUUGUUUACUGUUUGCGUUAUAAAUAAAGUUAUAAAUGUUCAUAAAUCUGGACCAGUUUUCAUGUUUGGUGUGUGAUGUGAUGUAUAAUUGUAUAAAUUAUCAGAUGGAUUACCUUAUUUGCAGCCUGCGGUUUACAAUCACAGUGAUUCAGUUCAGUUCGCGAAAUCGGUUGCUUAUUGCUAACCAUUUAACUUUCAAUAGUGCAAAGUACUAAAGUAGUCUUGUCCAUUAAAAUCUGAAGAAAUCUUUCAUGCGUUUCAUGUCAGUGAUGUAUCAAUGAGCUGAAGAAGUUACACAUUUCUCUUUAUUGUUAUACACCGAGACACCGAGCGUUGGUGCUGUUAAGUCCAAGUGGAAUGUUGAAGAGGGAGUAAUUGUGAAGACCAUCAGUGGUUGGAUUCACCAGACGCUCAACAAAUUAAAAUGCUCGUCAGAUGCAGGGACGGCCCUCGUGAGAUCACCACCUAAAUCCACAGAGAGUUCACCCUCAGUACCCUCCUAAGAAGACGAGGUCUUCCACACAAAUUAAUAUGUCUUGUACUUGUACAUUUUUUAAAUACAUUGUUUA